UACGUAGGGUGCAAGCGUUGUCCGGAAUUAUUGGGCGUAAAGAGCUCGUAGGCGGCUUGUCGCGUCUGCCGUGAAAGCCCGUGGCUUAACUACGGGUCUGCGGUGGAUACGGGCAGGCUAGAGGCUGGUAGGGGCAAGCGGAAUUCCUGGUGUAGCGGUGAAAUGCGCAGAUAUCAGGAGGAACACCGGUGGCGAAGGCGGUUCUCUGGGCAUUACCUGACGCUGAGGAGCGAAAGUGUGGGGAGCGAACAGG
rnacentral:rRNA from 1 species